rnacentral:rRNA from 1 species
CCUACGGGUGGCAGCAGUAGGGAAUAUUGGUCAAUGGGGGAAACCCUGAAGCAGCAACGUAGCGUGGAGGAUGACGGUUUUAGGAUUGUAAACUCCUUUUGUUAGAGAAGAUAAUGACGGUAUCUAACGAAUAAGCACCGGCUAACUCCGUGCCAGCAGCCGCGGUAAUACGGAGGGUGCAAGCGUUACUCGGAAUCACUGGGCGUAAAGAGCGCGUAGGCGGGUUAGCAAGUCAGAUGUGAAAUCUUAUGGCUUAACCAUAGAACUGCAAUUGAAACUGGUAGUCUAGAGUAUGGUAGAGGUAGGUGGAAUUCGUGGUGUAGGGGUAAAAUGCGUAGAGAUCAAGAAGAAUACUCAUUGCGAAGGCGACCUGCUAGAACAUAACUGACGCUGAUGCGCGAAAGCGUGGGGAGCAAACAGGAUUAGAUACCCUAGUAGUC